rfam:Anaerobacillus arseniciselenatis strain DSM 15340 Ga0137926_101, whole genome shotgun sequence.
UGGGCAGUAUCUUUUGGAACUGCACCACUAAAAGUUUUUGUCGAAAGCGUUAAAAAAAACUAUAGUCUGCCUUGAUCCAUUUGGACUAGGACAGAGGG